rfam:Dyadobacter psychrophilus strain DSM 22270 genome assembly, contig: LX75DRAFT_scaffold00001.1
GGGGGUGACUGGAAUUGACAGCGGGUUGGAAGUCUGUGUGUAAGCAUGUCGGGAGUUGAGAUUACCUCCCGUAAAUAAUGGUCUCAAACAAUAACUGGCGAAUCUACUUACGCCAUGGCAGCCUAAUCCGGAGGAUUUAGCUAAUGCCAUCAUCCCUCCAACCUACGUGCUGAUGGUUGGGCUCGGGGGUGUCGCAAAUCAGCGCUGGUUGAAAUAGUGAUACGGAAAUUCAACGAGACACCAGUAUCUAAGGUCAUGACGCGGGUCCGCCGCGAACCUUGUCUGGCCCGACAACCUAAUCGAGGAUAAGCAUGUAGAAGGCGCAGGGUUUCCCUGUUCUGGACCAGGGUUCGACUCCCUGCAUCUCCACUA